UUUUCCCACCCCCUGCAAUCCUGACAUCUUCCCUCUUUUCUGCUGGACACAGGCAUUACUGUUUUUAUCAUUUUCAAUCACGUUCACGCUGAAAGCUGAGGAAAUAUUCCCACUGAAGCCAAAGUGAGGAGCAAGAAAUUCUUUUAUAGCUCCUUUAGUAGCAGCGGUGCUGGCUGCAUGUGUGUGUGGGAGAAGCUGGAUCAGUGAGAAAUGUGGCGUUCCUCAGGGCUACAUCAUUGAGAUAUUACUUCAGAAUGGCAAAGCUGCUCCUUGGGUUGAUUUUUCAAUGAUUAAUUGCUCCUUUCUAAGCAAACAGAGAGGGAGAGAAAGUGAGGGAGACGAUGUAAGAAAAAAUUGUGGGAAAUAACUUGUGGAAAUGGUAUCGUCAGUGUGUCGGAGGGAAAUUACUAUGCUUGAAGUUCUUUUUAUUUUGACACUGCUGUUAUCUGGACCAACUCUCAGCAAGCUAAGUAGGACCAAAGGCAAACACUGGAAGGGUGGUUGGUACUCCAUGGGACUAAGGCAGACAUCUCGUUCUGAAAGUAGAUGCAGCUUGAAGAAAGAGGUACACAACUCUCCAAGGUCACAAGCACUGUUGAGAGAUAAUUGGAACCGCAUUCCUAGUUUGUAAUAGGGGGCACCUGCGAGUAGUUAAGAUAACAUUUUGGCAGUUGUAUUAAUUAGUAGAAAUUUAUCUUACUGGGUGUAGCAUGUCACCUCACUAAUAUCCUUACCUAUAAUACUUUGAAAUAUUCCACAAGAUACAGCUUUUUCUUUGGCUUAUUAGCACAUGUUGCAAUUUUCCUGCCGUUUCUUUGAUAUGGACUAUUGUUCCUGACUUCAGAGAAUUAUUCUGCUUGCUUCUAUGAAACCAAGGCUACGCAACUAUGAACAUCGCUGACUGGACUGUCUUAGAACUGUCACUCUUGUUGCUGGCAUUAGGUGCCUUUCAAAUAUUUUUCUGUCUAUUUUGUGAAUACAGUCA